AUGGCUAAUCCCAUUGCUAAGAGCAAACUACUUCGUCCCAUGUUCGAUCCACGCUGAUUCCAACAAAAGCGAAUGCAACAUGUUCUGUCUUGACUGCACUUCUAGUUCCUUUUGCUCUUACUGUUUGACAAAUCACAAAAACCAUCGUGUCCUUCAGGUUUGUUCUUCAUCAUAUCUCUCAAUUUGUUUUUCUCUUAAAUUCACAAAAAAAACAUAAUAAUAAAAUCGAAUGUUUACCCUUAGAUACGAAGAUCAUCGUACCACAACGUUGUGAGGGUGAAUGAGAUUCAGAAGUACAUAGACAUCUCUUGUGUUCAGACUUAUAUAAUCAACAGCGCAAGGAUCGUGUUCUUGAACGAACGUCCUCAGCCAAGAAUCGGCAAAGGCGUUACCAAUACAUGCGAAAUAUGUUGCAGAAGUCUCCUUGAUUCUUUCCGUUUCUGCUCUCUUGGUUGCAAAGUAAAUACAAAUAUCUUUUCUCAUUCCACUUCAGAAAAUCUCAUCCUCUGUUUUUGUUUUUGAUCUUAAAUAAAUGCAUAAAUUAUUGUCUAAAUUUUAAAUUUGUAUACUAAUCUUAAUUUAAAAGUUAUAGUUUCAAAAGAAAAGUUGAAACUACUACUUUUAAACUAUAUUAUUAAUUUUUUUAAAUGUCAGUUAAUAUUUUUUGAAUAGAGCAUACGAAUAAUUUGAUAUGUCACUGACCAUGUUGAUCUUGUUUUGGGUGAUUCAGCUUGGAGGGAUGAAAAGUGGAAAUCAAAGUCUAACCUUCUCUUUGAAAGGGAAGCAUGGGAGGGAGUAUCAAGCUGGGGAGGACUCUGAUGAGGCGACCACACCAACUAAGAUACGCAAGACAUGUGCUUUCAACCGUCUGAUGAGUGGUCUCUCCA
rnacentral:lncRNA from 1 species